ACUCAACGUUAAUUCUUUAAAAAGGGUGAGUUUAAGUUGUAAAAGCAUGCUGCUAGUACUGGAUUUAUUUCAGUAGCUCGAGCAGACCCUUGAUCAACUUGUUAGCCCUAAACUUGUUUUUAAGGAGUUU
rnacentral:sRNA from 1 species